GGUAGUAGCUCAGUUGGAUAGAGUAACUGGCUACGAACCAGUAGGUCGGGGGUUCGAGUCCCUCCUAC
rnacentral:tRNA from 1 species